ACGGCCGUACCAUACUGAAUAUACCGGUUCUCGUUAGAUCACCGAAGUCAAGCAUCAUUGGGCGCGGUCAGAACUUGGGUGGGUAAUUUGGGAAUUGAAUG